rnacentral:rRNA from 1 species
CGAACGGCAGCGGGGGUAGCUUGCUACCUGCCGGCGAGUGGCGAACGGGUGAGUAAUACAUCGGAACGUGCCCUGUAGUGGGGGAUAACUAGUCGAAAGACUAGCUAAUACCGCAUACGACCUGAGGGUGAAAGUGGGGGACCGCAAGGCCUCAUGCUAUAGGAGCGGCCGAUGUCUGAUUAGCUAGUUGGUGGGGUAAAGGCCCACCAAGGCGACGAUCAGUAGCUGGUCUGAGAGGACGAUCAGCCACACUGGGACUGAGACACGGCCCAGACUCCUACGGGAGGCAGCAGUGGGGAAUUUUGGACAAUGGGGGCAACCCUGAUCCAGCAAUGCCGCGUGUGUGAAGAAGGCCUUCGGGUUGUAAAGCACUUUUGUCCGGAAAGAAAUCGCUUCGGUUAAUACCUGGAGUGGAUGACGGUACCGGAAGAAUAAGGACCGGCUAACUACGUGCCAGCAGCCGCGGUAAUACGUAGGGUCCAAGCGUUAAUCGGAAUUACUGGGCGUAAAGCGUGCGCAGGCGGUUGUGCAAGACCGAUGUGAAAUCCCCGGGCUUAACCUGGGAAUUGCAUUGGUGACUGCACAGCUAGAGUGUGUCAGAGGGAGGUAGAAUUCCACGUGUAGCAGUGAAAUGCGUAGAGAUGUGGAGGAAUACCGAUGGCGAAGGCAGCCUCCUGGGAUAACACUGACGCUCAUGCACGAAAGCGUGGGGAGCAAACAGGAUUAGAUACCCUGGUAGUCCACGCCCUAAACGAUGUCAACUAGUUGUUGGGGAUUCAUUUCCUUAGUAACGUAGCUAACGCGUGAAGUUGACCGCCUGGGGAGUACGGUCGCAAGAUUAAAACUCAAAGGAAUUGACGGGGACCCGCACAAGCGGUGGAUGAUGUGGAUUAAUUCGAUGCAACGCGAAAAACCUUACCUACCCUUGACAUGCCACUAACGAAGCAGAGAUGCAUUAGGUGCUCGAAAG